rnacentral:lncRNA from 1 species
GAUAAAAAGCUCAGAAAACUUUAGAGCUCUUCGAAUGCAGACUCAGUGAUCUUGUUGCAGUGAUGCAGUACUGUGAUGCAAACAUGAGAAGAAGACUAUCUGAAAGCCCC